CCCUUACUGAAUAGCAUAAAUGGGAGAGUGAAAUCCUGGCUUCUUGGUGAUAGGUGUUUUUGGCAGUGAGAGGAGAGACCAGUCUGUCCCCAGGACAGCCCCAGCAGAGUACACCUUUUAGGUCUUGCCUUCUGAGUCUGUAACAGGUGAAAUUUGGCCCAUUAAAGGGGUGCAGUAGAGGAAAAUCUGGUUGCCAGCCUUAAGUAACAGUUUUAAAGUCUGGACGGCAGAGGAUUAAUGGAUUUGGAAGUAAGUCUUCACUGUUGAGAGCACUUUUUAGAAUGUGUUUUUGUCAUAAUGGGAAGUGAUUGCUGUUAUUAUUGAAGGGCUCUUUAUUAACUGAUUAAU
rnacentral:lncRNA from 10 species